rnacentral:misc_RNA from 1 species
UUUCCGUAGGUGAACCUGCGGAAGGAUCAUUAUUGUAUAACCGAGGUGCGAGGGCUGUCGCUGACCCGAAAGGUCGUGCACGCUCGAGUGCCCUCACACACAUCCAUCUCACCCCUAUGUGCACCACCGCGUGGGUCCCCCUUUGGCUUGUUCGGAGGGGGGCUUACGUUUUCACACAAACUUUGUAUGCAGUGUAGAAUGUAUUUUCUGUUUUUGCGAUCACGCAAUCAAUACAACUUUCAACAACGGAUCUCUUGGCUCUC